CACAUCCUUUAUGGUGGCACUGAGAGAACGGUCUUGUUGGACGGGAUCCUGCACCCCAAAAUCUUCUGCCUCUUUCAGGCCGGUGACAACAUUUCAGGGAACGAGGAAAUCAAAGAUUAAGGUCCACCUGCCCAACUUUCUGUUUCCUUUCUCCUCACGACUUCGCUUUUUCAGAGAAGUUGUCCUCUGUUUCUCAUUAAAAAGCCCAAAGGCAUGACUGGAUUGUCAACGUUUUCAUUCGUACCUAGCUCAGACGCCCUGUGGCCUGUAGUGUUGCUUUCGAGACCACAUCCUGACCAGACCCUGCUAAAGCCGAUCUUUCACUGAACAACAGAAAUAUGAGCUGCCCAGAAAGAAACACAUCUUAAAGAGUUCGGACUUCUUUACGUGGAGAAAAGAUUUUAAGGAGGAUUUGAGGUGAUAGAUUAUAUACUGCAGGUUGGUCUGCAUCGUAAUGAUUGGCAAGGUGCUUCUGUGGGCUCUCAUCGGUUCCUGUACAUCAGUCACUGUGAUCACACCCCAAACCCGAGUCUGGGUCUAUUCCGGCAAGACUGCUGUCCUUCCAGUUUUAAUUCAGUUCCAGAAUCCAAAGUGGGAAUAUUUUCAUGUCCGGUGGGAAUUCCUCACACAGAAUUGCCCCGUCCUUUUCUAUGUCAUGAAUUGCUCCACUCCUCCUCCUGGGUCACAGAAACGUACCUGCGACCAUCAGAUGGAGAUGGAAGGACGCUUUUCAGGAAGGGUCAACAUUUCUAGGGAUGUUUCCCUGGAGCUGAGGGAUGCAAACCCUGAGGAUGCCGGAAUAUAUGAGGUAACCAUAUACGCACUUGAUGAGUCUGGCAGAGGACAAGUGGAACUUGUGUUCAUGGAAGGUACCACAAAAGAUCUCAGGUUCAUGGUGACCAAAAACCACAGCCCGGUGGGAGAAGGAGGGGUCCAUACGCCUGGAUUACGUACUUCAGGGAAGUCUAGUCCUUCAAACAAAGGAGGCUCGUUGACUUUGGAAAGACACAGCAUAGAAAACGUUAUCCGUAUGCUUUUGGCCUGCCUUGUCUUGGGUACCAUUGGCUGGUUGUUGUGGGAGCAUAUCUGUUCUUUGCAAGGGAAUAUUACGGCAUAAGAGGAAGAGGCCCACCUAGAGACUGGUUGAAGAUUCACCUUUGAUUAGGGUGGACACCCUCAGUGAUCAUUUCACUUACUCCUCUUGUGGAUCGACAGACCGUUUUCCAGAUAACUUUCUACAAUUUUCUCCCAGCUUUGCAAAAUCCGACAUACCAAGCAACAUAAACUUUGAUGUGGUAUGAGCUGGAUGCCCUGCCUUGUGAUGCUAGGUGAGGGAUCCUGGAAGGACCACUUCUAAAGUCCAGGGAUGACCAUUCCAAAACACUCUGGCUCAUGUGGACAGAGAGGCAGUGACCCAUAUUCAGCUUCAAAUAAUUUCUGAAAACAUAUUUAUACAGGUUUUCCUUGGCUGGAACUGAAACCCCUCUGCUUUUGUACUACUGCAGCUUUUUUUUAUACACACGUACACACACACACAGUUUUCAAGCUGUUAUAUAUUGUUUAAAUGCAGUAUUAAUUAAUGUCUAUGUACGAUUUCUUAAUUAUUUUAAUUCAUCAAGAAGCAGGCAAGCAGGGUAAACAAAAUAAACAACUAUUACGACUGCUUGGUCUCCUGACC
ensembl:lncRNA